rnacentral:rRNA from 1 species
UACGUAGGGUCCGAGCGUUGUCCGGAAUUAUUGGGCGUAAAGGGCUCGUAGGCGGUUUGUCGCGUCGGGAGUGAAAACGCCUGGCUUAACCCGGUGCUUGCUUUCGAUACGGGCAGACUGGAGGUAUGCAGGGGAGAACGGAAUUCCUGGUGUAGCGGUGAAAUGCGCAGAUAUCAGGAGGAACACCGGUGGCGAAGGCGGGUCUCUGGGCCGAUACUGACGCUGAGGAGCGAAAGCAUGGGUAGCGAACAGG